rnacentral:rRNA from 1 species
ACAAUAGCAUUGUGGUCCCACCUGAUCCCAUCCCGAACUCAGAAGUGAAACGCAAUCGCGCCGAUGGUAGUGUG